UAGAAGGUGGUGUAUUGGGAGCACGAGGAGUUUUGAUCUCUUAUGUAUAGGUUCGGAUCCUAUCUUUCUAA
rnacentral:tRNA from 1 species